rnacentral:lncRNA from 1 species
AAGCGGACCAGGAGCCUAAACCACAGAAAUGUGUCUGUCGUCUCACAGUUCUGAAAGCUGCAAGCCUGAGAUCAAGGCGUGGGCAGAAUUCGCUUCUUCUGGAGCCUCUCUCCUCGGCUUAUAGUUGCCUUUUGGCCCGCCACGCCCCCCAUCCUGUUCCCAGAGUAACCUGAGACCUGGUAGGCACAAAUACAGGCGGCUCGACAUCAAGAAGAGCAGAGGAACACAGCGGCAGACACCAGCGGACACCAGUGGGGACACCAGCAGACCCUGGCAGACACCAGCAGACACCCGGAAGACCAGACGGCAGAAGAACGUGGACGCGGAGGGGAGUUCAGCUGGGGCAGUCGGAGAAGAGUCCUGCUUCCGGGCCGCCCAACUCCAGGGGAGACCAUCUUCCCACUCCAUUCCCCUUGCUGAGAGCCUCACCCUCCAAGCCCACGUGUGAUCUGAUUUUUCUGGUACACUGGGCAAAAACUCGGGAUACAGAAAGCCCUCUGCCCUUGCAAUAAGGCAGAGGGCCUAAUUGAGCUGAUUAACGCAAGCCGUUUGCAGACUGCAAAGCUGAAAGAACACGCUGUAACACACACCCACGGGGGCUUCAGGAGUCGUAAACUCUCACUGCCAGACGCUUCCGCGAGGUGGGAGCCCAAAAGCAUUCCCCACACCCUCUGCUCCUGCCUGCCUGCAUGCUCUCCCCAGGGGUUUGAGCAGUGGGGCACUGAGCAAGUGAGCCACACCCCUGGCACGUCCUGCAAGCGGGAUAAGGGAACUCUCCCGUAUCAAUAACAGUAUGUUAUUAUGUUAUUAUGAAAUUACCCAAC